CGAACGGGUGAGUAACACGUGGGCAACCUGCCCAAAAGAGGGGGAUAACACUUGGAAACAGGUGCUAAUACCGCAUAACCAUAGUUACCGCAUGGUAACUAUGUAAAAGGUGGCUAUGCUACCGCUUUUGGAUGGGCCCGCGGCGCAUUAGCUAGUUGGUGGGGUAAAGGCUUACCAAGGCAAUGAUGCGUAGCCGAACUGAGAGGUUGAUCGGCCACAUUGGGACUGAGACACGGCCCAAACUCCUACGGGAGGCAGCAG
rnacentral:rRNA from 1 species